rnacentral:rRNA from 1 species
GACGAACGCUGGCGGCGUGCUUAACACAUGCAAGUCGAACGGAAAGGCCCUGCUUUUGUGGGGUGCUCGAGUGGCGAACGGGUGAGUAACACGUGAGUAACCUGCCCUUGACUUUGGGAAACUUCAGGAAACUGGGGCUAAUACCGGAUAGGAGCUCCUGCUGCAUGGUGGGGGUUGGAAAGUUUCGGCGGUUGGGGAUGGACUCGCGGCUUAUCAGCUUGUUGGUGGGGUAGUGGCUUACCAAGGCUUUGACGGGUAGCCGGCCUGAGAGGGUGACCGGCCACAUUGGGACUGAGAUACGGCCCAGACUCCUACGGGAGGCAGCAGUGGGGAAUAUUGCACAAUGGGCGGAAGCCUGAUGCAGCAACGCCGCGUGCGGGAUGACGGCCUUCGGAUUGUAAACCGCUUUCGCCUGUGACGAAGCGUGAGUGACGGUAAUGGGUAAAGAAGCACCGGCUAACUACGUG